UGAGGGAAUAUUUGGGUCAAUGGGCGAGAGCCUGAACCAGCCAAGUAGCGUGCAGGACGACGGCCCUAUGGGUUGUAAACUGCUUUUAUAAGGGAAUAAAGUGGGUCACGUGUGACUUUUUGCAUGUACCUUAUGAAUAAGGACCGGCUAAUUCCGUGCCAGCAGCCGCGGUAAUACGGAAGGUCCGGGCGUUAUCCGGAUUUAUUGGGUUUAAAGGGAGCGUAGGCCGUCUGUUAAGCGUGUUGUGAAAUGUCGGGGCUCAACCUGGGCAUUGCAGCGCGAACUGGCAGACUUGAGUGCGCAGGAAGUAGGCGGAAUUCGUCGUGUAGCGGUGAAAUGCUUAGAUAUGACGAAGAACUCCGAUUGCGAAGGCAGCCUGCUGUAGCGUAACUGACGCUGAAGCUCGAAAGCGUGGGGUAUCGAACA
rnacentral:rRNA from 1 species